rnacentral:rRNA from 1 species
UACGGAGGGUGCAAGCGUUAUCCGGAUUCACUGGGUUUAAAGGGUGCGUAGGAGGGCAGGUAAGUCAGUGGUGAAAUCUCCAAGCUUAACUUGGAAACUGCCGUUGAUACUAUAGAUCUUGAAUGUUGUGGAGGUGAGCGGAAUAUGUCAUGUAGCGGUGAAAUGCUUAGAUAUGACAUAGAACACCAAUUGCGAAGGCAGCUCACUACACAAAUAUUGACACUGAGGCACGAAAGCGUGGGGAUCAAACAGG